GAUGAACGCUAGCGGCAGGCUUAAUACAUGCAAGUCGUGGGGCAGCGCAGGUAGCAAUACUGGGCGGCGACCGGCAAACGGGUGCGGAACACGUACACAACCUUCCGAGAAGUGGGGAAUAGCCCAGAGAAAUUUGGAUUAAUACCCCGUAACAUAACGAUGUGGCAUCACAUUGUUAUUAUAGCUUCGGCGCUUCUUGAUGGGCGUGCGGCUGAUUAGAUAGUUGGCGGGGUAACGGCCCACCAAGUCUACGAUCAGUAGCUGAUGUGAGAGCAUGAUCAGCCACACGGGCACUGAGACACGGCCCAGACUCCUACGGGAGGCAGCAGUGGGGAAUUUUGGACAAUGGGGGAAACCCUGAUCCAGCCAUGCCGCGUGCAGGAUGAAGGCCUUCGGGUUGUAAACUGCUUUUGUACGGAACGAAAAGGUCUCUUCUAAUAAAGGGGGCCCAUGACGGUACCGUAAGAAUAAGCACCGGCUAACUACGUGCCAGCAGCAGCCGCCGUAA
rnacentral:rRNA from 1 species